rnacentral:rRNA from 1 species
GAUGAACGCUAGCGGGAGGCCUAACACAUGCAAGCCGAGCGGUAGAGUUCCUUCGGGAACUUGAGAGCGGCGUACGGGUGCGUAACACGUGUGCAACCUACCUUUAUCUGGGGGAUAGCCUUUCGAAAGGAAGAUUAAUACCCCAUAAUAUAAUGAUUGGCAUCAAUUAUUAUUGAAAACUCCGGUGGAUAGAGAUGGGCACGCGCAAGAUUAGAUAGUUGGUGAGGUAACGGCUCACCAAGUCAAUGAUCUUUAGGGGUCCUGAGAGGGAGAUCCCCCACACUGGUACUGAGACACGGACCAGACUCCUACGGGAGGCAGCAGUGAGGAAUAUUGGACAAUGGUGAAAGCCUGAUCCAGCCAUCCCGCGUGAAGGAUGACGGUCCUAUGGAUUGUAAACUUCUUUUGUACAGGGAUAAACCUACUCUCGUGAGGGUAGCUGAAGGUACUGUACGAAUAAGCACCGGCUAACUCCGUG